CCAGCGGAGGGAUCAUUAUCGAGUUUACAACUCCCAAACCCUUAUGUGAACAUACCUACUGUUGCUUCGGCGGACUCGCCCCGGCGUCCGGACGGCCUCGCGCCGCCCGCGGCCCGGACCCAGGCGGCCGCCGGAGACCCCCAAACUCUGUAUUAUCAGCAUUUUCUGAAUCCGCCGCAAGGCAAAACAAAUGAAUCAAAACUUUCAACAACGGAUCUCUUGGUUCUGGCAUCGAUGAAGAACGCAGCGAAAUGCGAUAAGUAAUGUGAAUUGCAGAAUUCAGUGAAUCAUCGAAUCUUUGAACGCACAUUGCGCCCGCCAGCAUUCUGGCGGGCAUGCCUGUUCGAGCGUCAUUUCAACCCUCGACUUCCCUUUGGGGAAAUCGGCGUUGGGGAACGGCAGCAUACCGCCGGCCCCGAAAUGAAGUGGCGGCCCGUCCGCGGCGACCUCUGCGUAGUAAUCCAACUCGCACCGGAACCCCGACGUGGCCACGCCGUAAAACACCCAACUUCUGAACGUUGACCUCGGAUCAGGUAGGAAUACCCGCUGAACUUAAGCAUAUCAAUAAGCGGAGGAAAAGAAACCAACAGGGAUUGCCCCAGUAACGGCGAGUGAAGCGGCAACAGCUCAAAUUUGAAAUCUGGCCCUUGGGUCCGAGUUGUAAUUUGUAGAGGAUGCUUUUGGCGAGGUGCCUUCCGAGUUCCCUGGAACGGGACGCCAUAGAGGGUGAGAGCCCCGUCUGGUCGGACACCGAGCCUCUGUAAAGCUCCUUCGACGAGUCGAGUAGUUUGGGAAUGCUGCUCAAAAUGGGAGGUAUAUGUCUUCUAAAGCUAAAUAUUGGCCAGAGACCGAUAGCGCACAAGUAGAGUGAUCGAAAGAUGAAAAGCACUUUGAAAAGAGGGUUAAAAAGUACGUGAAAUUGUUGAAAGGGAAGCGCCUAUGACCAGACUUGGGCCCGGUGAAUCAUCCAGCGUUCUCGCUGGUGCACUUUGCCGGGCACAGGCCAGCAUCAGUUUGGCGCGGGGGAAAAAGGCUUUGGGAAUGUGGCUCCCUCGGGAGUGUUAUAGCCCAUUGUGUAAUACCCUGCGCCGGACUGAGGUACGCGCAUUGCAAGGAUGCUGGCGUAAUG
rnacentral:sRNA from 1 species